AGGCCGCCUCUAGUGCAGCCGUAAACCAGAUCUUUGAAGUGUCUUGAAGCCGAGUGGACUUCCAACCACAUUACCACACGGCGCUGGCUUCAGCGUCGGGGCGAAAAAGAUCCACUGGGAGAGAGCGAGACAGGCAGGGGGAAGGCAAGGGACUGGGGAACGGAAGAAGAGAGGGACGCAGGGAAAAGGGGAGGAGAUCAAUGGGCAUCUAAGGGCAGAAAAGGGAAAUAUGUACCUUUAAGAGACUCUGAAACACGUUUUGAUUAUAAAAAAACUGCUGUGACGUACAUCAUUCGUAUUCCCAAGACGAAAUAAAGGUGCAGAGCUGCUCAUGGAUACUGUGCUUCGCUAAUAUGACCCAAACAGUCCAUGAAAUCCGGAUAUAUACAUAUUUGGGGGAUUACGCAUUCAGCCCGAGACGUCUUCCUCCAGCCACUCAUAGGUUGCCGUUGACCUUUUCCAGCCGCAAGGAUGGUUUCAGUUCUAAACUCAUUCUACGCUACGUGAGACACGGAGACAUGGAGCCUACAGCAGCUCGACCUCCAUCAAUGUAGCAGCAUCGCAGUCUGAGGCUUCAGAGCGCUUACAGAGUACCGUCUUAUCUGUUGAAUUGUACUUUCUUCUAUUCAGGGUACGCUCCAGCCUGCCGGGACCCGCACCAACGGAAGCCCUUGGAAGAUGGAUGUAUGGAAUCUCUUUCUAAGAUAUAUGUGCUUUUACGCUGUUGACCUCAGUUCCCUAACAAUCCAAAUUCAACAAUGAACUUCUGCAGUUCUGUGGUCAAGGAAAAGCCCAAAAUCAGAGGUGGGUAGUUCAGGUCCAGAAAGUAAAAAUCCAGACCAAAUCGAGGUAGAGGACCUUCUCACCUUCGUGGAAGCUUCAGUGGGUGUAGAAUGGAGCAGACUCUGUGUGACCCAGACACUCCCCAUUGCAGUGGUCCUGACUCUCCGAACCCGCCCCCGUGCGUCUGCGGGGGUGGGGCUCUCCACAGCCUUGGCGCCUGUUCUGCGGCACUGGGAAGACGCCGGCAUUACUCAUCCACAGCGGGCACUGGGGCCUCGUUCUCGGCGGACGUGCCAGUACCUCUGAGUGGUGCUUUUGGGAAAGACUUCGAGGAACCUGCAAGCGCCAAAGCACAUUGGAUAUGGCCUCAGUCUACCUCUAAGUGCACUUAAGAAAAAAGCAAAAAAAAUAAUUUAUGUCAUUUUCAGCACCUGUGCCAUUCCUCCGCUUACUGUGAACAGGUGCAUUCUGGCUGGCUGCUGCAGGAAAUGUUUGAUGAUUUAAACGUGACGUUAGAAAUGGGUGUGGGUUCAUUUAAUUGUACUUCUACCUGUUCCUCACAUGUUGCUGUGGGUAGGUAAGUAUCUUUUUGGAAAUUGGGGUGGGGCAGCAGGUAAAAAGUUAAACACCCAUAAACUUUCCUGAGAAUGACGUUGUGGUUGGCACUUGAUAACCUGCAGUUAAAGUUUGAACCUGUAGUAUGUGUGUGUGUGUGUGUGUUUGUAAUACUACAAUAAAUUACACCUGAUCAACAGGGUUG